rnacentral:rRNA from 1 species
CCUGUUUAACAAAAACAUGUCUUUUUGAGUUAUUUUAAAAGUCUGACCUGCCCACUGAAGUUGUUUAAAUGGCCGCAGUAUUCUAACUGUGCAAAGGUAGCAUAAUCAUUAGUCUUUUAAUUGAAGGCUGGUAUGAACGGUUGGACGAGGUAUAAGCUGUUUCAUAUAAAUUUAUAAUAGAAUUUUAUAUUUUAGUUAAAAAGCUAAAAUUUAAUUAAAAGACGAGAAGACCCUAUAAAUCUUUAUACCUUAUAUUAUUUAAGUUUUUUUGAUUAGUUUUACUUUUAUAGUUUGAGGUAUUUUGUUGGGGUGAUAUUAAAAUUUAAUAAACUUUUAAUUAUUAAAAAUCAUUAAUUUAUGAGUUAUUGAUCCAUUAAUAGUGAUUAUAAGAUUAAGUUACUUUAGGGAUAACAGCGUAAUUUUUUUGGAGAGUUCAUAUCGAUAAAAAAGUUUGCGACCUCGAUGUUGGAUUAAGAUAUAUUUUUAGGUGUAGCCGCUAAAAU